rnacentral:rRNA from 1 species
GUCACACCAUGGGAGUCGGUAACACCCAAAGUUGGUAGUCUAACCGCAAGGAGGACGCCGCCUAAGGUGGAUUGAUGACUGGGUGAAGUCGUAACAAGGUACC